GGGAGUGUGCCCGAGUGGACAAAGGGAGCAGACUGUAAAUCUGCCGGCGAUUGCCUUCGGUGGUUCGAAUCCACCCGCUCCCA
rnacentral:tRNA from 1 species